rnacentral:rRNA from 1 species
AGCGUACACGGUGGAUGCCCUGGCAGUCAGAGGCGAUGAAGGACGUGCUAAUCUGCGAUAAGCGUCGGUGAGGUGAUAUGAACCGUUAUAACCGGCGAUUUCCGAAUGGGGAAACCCAGUGUGUUUCGACACACUAUCAUUAACUGAAUCCAUAGGUUAAUGAGGCGAACCGGGGGAACUGAAACAUCUAAGUACCCCGAGGAAAAGAAAUCAACCGAGAUUCCCCCAGUAGCGGCGAGCGAACGGGGAGGAGCCCAGAGCCUGAAUCAGUGUGUGUGUUAGUGGAAGCGUCUGGAAAGGCGCGCGAUACAGGGUGACAGCCCCGUACACAAAAAUGCACAUGCUGUGAGCUCGAUGAGUAGGGCGGGACACGUGGUAUCCUGUCUGAAUAUGGGGGGACCAUCCUCCAAGGCUAAAUACUCCUGACUGACCGAUAGUGAACCAGUACCGUGAGGGAAAGGCGAAAAGAACCCCGGCGAGGGGAGUGAAAAAGAACCUGAAACCGUGUACGUACAAGCAGUGGGAGCCUCUUUAUGGGGUGACUGCGUACCUUUUGUAUAAUGGGUCAGCGACUUAUAUUCUGUAGCAAGGUUAACCGAAUAGGGGAGCCGAAGGGAAACCGAGUCUUAACUGGGCGUUAAGUUGCAGGGUAUAGACCCGAAACCCGGUGAUCUAGCCAUGGGCAGGUUGAAGGUUGGGUAACACUAACUGGAGGACCGAACCGACUAAUGUUGAAAAAUUAGCGGAUGACUUGUGGCUGGGGGUGAAAGGCCAAUCAAACCGGGAGAUAGCUGGUUCUCCCCGAAAGCUAUUUAGGUAGCGCCUCGUGAAUUCAUCUCCGGGGGUAGAGCACUGUUUCGGCAAGGGGGUCAUCCCGACUUACCAACCCGAUGCAAACUGCGAAUACCGGAGAAUGUUAUCACGGGAGACACACGGCGGGUGCUAACGUCCGUCGUGAAGAGGGAAACAACCCAGACCGCCAGCUAAGGUCCCAAAGUCAUGGUUAAGUGGGAAACGAUGUGGGAAGGCCCAGACAGCCAGGAUGUUGGCUUAGAAGCAGCCAUCAUUUAAAGAAAGCGUAAUAGCUCACUGGUCGAGUCGGCCUGCGCGGAAGAUGUAACGGGGCUAAACCAUGCACCGAAGCUGCGGCAGCGACGCUUAUGCGUUGUUGGGUAGGGGAGCGUUCUGUAAGCCUGUGAAGGUGUGCUGUGAGGCAUGCUGGAGGUAUCAGAAGUGCGAAUGCUGACAUAAGUAACGAUAAAGCGGGUGAAAAGCCCGCUCGCCGGAAGACCAAGGGUUCCUGUCCAACGUUAAUCGGGGCAGGGUGAGUCGACCCCUAAGGCGAGGCCGAAAGGCGUAGUCGAUGGGAAACAGGUUAAUAUUCCUGUACUUGGUGUUACUGCGAAGGGGGGACGGAGAAGGCUAUGUUGGCCGGGCGACGGUUGUCCCGGUUUAAGCGUGUAGGCUGAUUUUCCAGGCAAAUCCGGAAAAUCAAGGCUGAGGCGUGAUGACGAGGCACUACGGUGCUGAAGCAACAAAUGCCCUGCUUCCAGGAAAAGCCUCUAAGCAUCAGGUAACAUCAAAUCGUACCCCAAACCGACACAGGUGGUCAGGUAGAGAAUACCAAGGCGCUUGAGAGAACUCGGGUGAAGGAACUAGGCAAAAUGGUGCCGUAACUUCGGGAGAAGGCACGCUGAUAUGUAGGUGAAGCGACUUGCUCGUGGAGCUGAAAUCAGUCGAAGAUACCAGCUGGCUGCAACUGUUUAUUAAAAACACAGCACUGUGCAAACACGAAAGUGGACGUAUACGGUGUGACGCCUGCCCGGUGCCGGAAGGUUAAUUGAUGGGGUUAGCGGCAACGCGAAGCUCUUGAUCGAAGCCCCGGUAAACGGCGGCCGUAACUAUAACGGUCCUAAGGUAGCGAAAUUCCUUGUCGGGUAAGUUCCGACCUGCACGAAUGGCGUAAUGAUGGCCAGGCUGUCUCCACCCGAGACUCAGUGAAAUUGAACUCGCUGUGAAGAUGCAGUGUACCCGCGGCAAGACGGAAAGACCCCGUGAACCUUUACUAUAGCUUGACACUGAACAUUGAGCCUUGAUGUGUAGGAUAGGUGGGAGGCUUUGAAGUGUGGACGCCAGUCUGCAUGGAGCCGACCUUGAAAUACCACCCUUUAAUGUUUGAUGUUCUAACGUGGGCCCGUAAUCCGGGUUGCGGACAGUGUCUGGUGGGUAGUUUGACUGGGGCGGUCUCCUCCUAAAGAGUAACGGAGGAGCACGAAGGUUGGCUAAUCCUGGUCGGACAUCAGGAGGUUAGUGCAAUGGCAUAAGCCAGCUUGACUGCGAGCGUGACGGCGCGAGCAGGUGCGAAAGCAGGUCAUAGUGAUCCGGUGGUUCUGAAUGGAAGGGCCAUCGCUCAACGGAUAAAAGGUACUCCGGGGAUAACAGGCUGAUACCGCCCAAGAGUUCAUAUCGACGGCGGUGUUUGGCACCUCGAUGUCGGCUCAUCACAUCCUGGGGCUGAAGUAGGUCCCAAGGGUAUGGCUGUUCGCCAUUUAAAGUGGUACGCGAGCUGGGUUUAGAACGUCGUGAGACAGUUCGGUCCCUAUCUGCCGUGGGCGCUGGAGAACUGAGGGGGGCUGCUCCUAGUACGAGAGGACCGGAGUGGACGCAUCACUGGUGUUCGGGUUGUCAUGCCAAUGGCACUGCCCGGUAGCUAAAUGCGGAAGAGAUAAGUGCUGAAAGCAUCUAAGCACGAAACUUGCCCCGAGAUGAGUUCUCCCUGACUCCUUGA